rnacentral:rRNA from 1 species
UACGUAGGGUGCAAGCGUUGUCCGGAAUUAUUGGGCGUAAAGAGCUCGUAGGCGGUCUGUCACGUCGGCUGUGAAAACCCGGGGCUCAACCCCGGGCCUGCAGUCGAUACGGGCAGACUAGAGUGCGGUAGGGGAGACUGGAAUUCCUGGUGUAGCGGUGAAAUGCGCAGAUAUCAGGAGGAACACCGGUGGCGAAGGCGGGUCUCUGGGCCGUAACUGACGCUGAGGAGCGAAAGCGUGGGGAGCAAACAGG